rnacentral:tRNA from 1 species
GCCUGGGUGGCUCAGUCAGUUGAGCUUCUGACUUUGGCUCAGGUCAUGAUCUCACAGUUUGUGAGUUCGAGCCCCGCGUCGGGCU